ACCCUCUCAGGGUCUCGCCUGGAGAGUUUCCAGUUCUCUACCAGUCUCGACUACAGGAGGGAGAGUCAAACGAAGGCCUAUCUAUUCCAUUCCUAGCUUGGGCAGUGGCUAGUGAGUGGAAGACAAUCUGCUACGAGU